GGUCGCAGGUUCGAAUCCUGCACGACCCACCAAUUUCAGCAUUUAACUCAGAUGCUGAACGUGAAGGAUAACGUUGCGUCAGCAACGGCCCGAAGGGCGAGGCAAAGCCGAGUCAUCCUGCACGACCUACCA
rnacentral:sRNA from 1 species